rnacentral:lncRNA from 1 species
UUCGUUCACAGUUAUGUUACGUCCGUCAAGGUUCUGACCGUUCAUCCCUUCGAUCGCAUCCUUCAUUGAAUUCUCCGAGGCGAAGGUAACAAAUCCAAAUCCCCUGGACCUUCCGGUCUCACGAUCGUUGAUAAUCUGCACGUAAAAACACGAACGGUUCAUCAAAUUGAAAUCGAAAGCAAAACAGCACGAAAACCAAAUCCAGAACCGAAUAGAAACCGAUCGAUCUUCGCCUUUGGUAAAGAGAUGAAGAUGAACGUACCUAUUGGCGUGAGUAAUAAAAGAGAAUUAUAUAAGAAGAAGAAGAAGAAGUAUCAUAGAUCAAGUAACGGAAAAAGAUCAGAGAUCAGAACGGGAUCGUGUGCGAUGGCUGCAACAAACGGACCUUCGAUUCAACGAUGUUGCCGUAGUGAGAGAAGGCUUUCUCCAAGGCAUGAUCGUCUGUGGCCCAAGCGAGCCCACCAACAAAGCAACGGUACUCAACAUAUGCAGAAGCCAUGGAUAACAUAACAGUAUAAAAUAAAAUCCAAAUAGGGAUAAAAAUUGCACGCUGAAAAACUAAACCCCCCAAGGAAUUGCUUUAUAGCAGGUGAAUUGUUGACCUGUGUUAAACUGGUUACAAGUACUACCUACACAUUCGGCUAUUUAACUGAAAAAGUCAAUCUUUCAGGCUUACCGUUUCAUCAGGAGGUUGAAUGGAUCACAUGUUGCCAUGUUGGGCAGGUUGGUAUAAAGAAUUUGGGGAUUUUCUUCCUCCACCCAACACCAUUUUUUUACACCCAACGUUUUGAGUGAAAAAUCAAUUUUACCUCUUCUUCAUUGACACUUAAAUGUCAAAUACAGAUUAAUUGAGAAAUUGUCUGUCUGCACCAUUCAUUCACGCGUUUUUUCAUUUUUUCUCUCAAAUUCUUUCAUCUUCUUCUCUUCAAUCUGUGGUUGUCUUCAUCAAUUCAUGUGUGCUCAUCAGCGGUGUCUGUCUUCAUUUCCCUAUCGCCUUAGUGAGCCGUUGUGAGUUCUGUUGUCUGUAUUUUUUUUUUUGUGUAUUGAACGUAUACGGAUACGGAUUGUCAAUCCGUAUGAAGUAAACGAAAGAAGAAAAAAACUUACCAAUGACAAUGCAGUGCUACUCACGACGACAGAGGAGAGGAAACUCCCGGAAGAGAAACUAGAGAGGAGCCAUGACAGGAACACACACCACGAACAAUACCAACACCAGUUUCACAAAAGAGAAAGAGAAUAUCAACGGUCGUGGUGACAAAAAUUUCAAAUGAGCAGUGUCUUACGAAUUAUCAAUCGGAUAAUCAAUCCAUAGGCUAUACGAAAAAGAGAAAAGAAAGAAUUGAAGAACAAGUAAAAAAUGAUAAAGUUGAAAAUUUUUAAAAUAUGUUAAAUGUAGAAAAAAUUUAUUGGGUGUAAAAAAACACAAGAAUUUGGGUCAAAAUAUGAGUUAGUACAUUUUUGGAGGCCCAAAAAGUUUAUGAUUUUUCAAACACAAACUUAAAUUUAUAACUUUAAUAACUAUUAAAAAAAUAAAACAAAAUCCGAACAUGUGAAAGUCAGAUCUGCAAAGCGGUGCCCAAAACUCUUUUUUGCACAUUAUUCAUUAGGCAACUCAUGAUAUUAUGUCUUCACAGAGCCUUAGUACCAGUGCACUGCAGAUCACAGGAUCUAAUCUCCGGAUACAAAAGCACAAAUAAAUAAUAAUCAGACACUUGCAAGCUUUCAAAAUCACAAAAGUAAAAUGUACAAAAAAAAUUGAUGAAAAAGAAAAAAACUUUGUCCUAAUACAAUAUCUGCAAUAAAAAGGAUAUAUCAUAUAUUUUAAACAAAAAACAAAAAUUAAAAUCAGAUUUUUCAUUUGAAAAUACAACAUGAGCAAGUAUUGUCAUCCAAAAACGAUUGGGGGGAAGGAAAAAAAAUGCCAAUGAUGAGAAAACAACUUCACUAAUUAAAAAAAUUUAAUUAGUGAACUGUUCAGCAAAUGGAAGGUUGUGUGAAUAAUUUGCUCUUAAGAAUCGAUAUUGUUGUAAUUGUUGAGCUAAAUGGAUUCGUCGACUUGUAACUUUGAACACAUUUUUUUUGUUUCUAGCUAUUUUAGUUAUUAUUUAUGUUUAAAUUCUGGUUCUGUAACUUUAUAUAAUGCAUUGAACAGAUCGAGAUUGUGUAUUCGGAAUCUCUUACAGUGAGGAUAAAUAUUUAAUAUUUCGGCUUCAAUCUUGGAACUUUUCUGGUUUGCUUGUUGAUUUCAUUUUCAGGCUUUCAGCUUGGUGAAGUUGUGUCUAUUCUCUCAAGUCUUUACCUAUGUACUUUUUAUGCCGAGUGGGUUUAGAUUCUAGGUGCCAGGUUUUGUUAUUUAGGCUCACCUUGUUGCCAAACAUUUCCCUAGUUUAGUUUGUGGAACUUUGAUUUUACUCUUCCUUAAGUCUUGGGGUUUUGGAUUUUGAGCAUGUUCGUUACAUAGAGCCUUUCAUUUUAGCAUCCUACUGUAUUAAAUGUUAAGUUCUGAUUUAUGAAAUGCAUCUCUAUUGGCUAGUGAUAGUUUGAGCAAUUGGACUUUCAAUUACUUUUAUUUUGUGCAAGGAGCCUACCAUUUCAAACAUGGUCAAUUCCUGAGUAAUUUGUGUUGAUUUGCUUGGGUUAGACAAAAGUUUGGCCAUGUUGUGUUUUAUCAGCUGGUUUCUGGCAUUACUAAUCUUUAAGUGGAGUGUGGAGAUUGCCUUCUUUUCUGUCGCUAAAUUUCAGUUAAGUGUUCCACUUCUAAUUGCCUCUGGUCUUCAACAAGAAGGGGUCCAUUGUUUUCGUUCUUGCAUUGUGGAUUUAUGCAUUUGAGCAUUCUCAAGAGCUUACUUCAGAGUCUGUUGUAAAAAAUAAAAAAAAGAGCUUACUUCAUUAGUUUAUUCAUGAGUCUUAAAAAUUUGGUAACUUCCUUUCAAUGAUAGGCAACUCUGAUUGCGGAAAAAAAAAAUGCAAGCUUGUUUGUAGAAUUGUAGUAAUAUUCUCUUUAAUUUGAGCAGACUUUGACGACUAAUUUUGCACAUCUGUACUCUAUUCUCUUGGAAGUUAUGCGAUUGUAAACAUAACUUGAAGUGAUCGCAACAAGUCCAAAGAUUAUUUCUACUGUUCAAGCUUUAUAGUUAAACUAGACUUUCAACAAGUGCAACGCACGGGCUUUAAUUUUUUAAAAUUAUAUAUAUAUAUAUAUAAAAUUUUAUAUUUAUUUAUAUAAAUAAAAAUAAUAAUUUUUAAAUAUUUAGUAUUAUGUUAAACAUAAUUAUAUUAUCAAUGAAAAAUUUAAUUAAUUAUAUUUUUAAUUGAGUUAAUUUUAUCUUAAAAAUUAAAUAUAUUAAAAUUUAUUGUAAUUUUUGGUUCAUUUAAGUAAUAAUGGUGAUAUAAUAUCUUUUGAAAAAUAAAUGUAUAUAAAUAAAAUUAUUCAUUUUAAAUAUUUUUAAUAGUGAAAUCAAUAUAUAAAUAUUAAAAUUGAAAAAUAAUGUUAAAUAUUAUAUUUAUGCAUUUGUUAUUUAAGGGUUCCACUUGCACUCUGCUUAUUUAGAAAAUUGCGCUAACCUCCAAUGCUUUGUUAUUUUAAGGGGAUUGUGUGUAUAGUCCAUACUCUGUAAAUAAAAGUGAGCUAGAUGUGUGUAAUUUUUUAAAAAUAAUGAGUGUUGAUGAGUAAGGAUCAUAUAUAAAAUAAGGGAGGUAGUUGUUCAUACAAGCAAGGUGCAAGUGUAUUUAGUGCUAACCUUAAGGGAGGUAUAUGUUAUUAAUCCUUUAUGUCAGAUGAUCUUAUCUUGAAACCAGUUGCGUGUUGGUACAACUGGGUUUUAAAUUUUGAUUCUAGUGUAUACUACUAUAAUAUAACUAAUAGUUAUAUGUCAACCACAGUUCUGAAACUUGGUCAGUGUAUUUGGCUAUUGAAAUGUUACAUCCUUUUACUUUACAGUGUUGUAGUUUUCAAAAGCCUUUACCUAGUCAAUGAUUGCUUAGAUAGGUUGGUUGGUUAGUCUCCUAGAACUUUACUUGUCAUUGACACCGAAUGGCACUUAGGGCAAAGGGAGAUAAACAUGAUUCUCAUCUUUAGUUUGCAUAUUGCUUCUGGCUGACAGCUUCUCGUGAGAUGAGAAAAUUCGGAUCUGGUUUUACAUAUUGCUUUUGGCUGACAGCUUGUUUGACUUAACUUUGAUUUUUGAAACUCCUAAUAUUGAGACAAUAUUUUAUUUAAAGAUUUUUUUAGCAUUUGAAAAGUUCCUUCACCCCAACAUAAACUAUUAUUGUCUUUUAAUUUUUUUUUAUCAUAUGACAGCAUUAGAUUGUUUAAUAUAGAAUACUAUUGCUGGAUCUAUCUAUCCAGAAUUAUAAUAUAAUAGUGGAAAAUGCAAUUGAAUGUUUUACAUUCCUUGCCUUGUGUUUAGAUGAAGGAUUUGAAGUGAUCAGUUGCAUUCCACUAUCUUACUGAAUAUGCCAAAAUUAAUUAUAAUAGCAUUGCUUUUUAUGAAGUUCCCUUUGUAAUUGUGUCUAGUCUCCAAAAGUAUGUGACAUACUUAUUCACAUGCAAUGUUAGUAUUGGUAUGUGUAUUUUGUAAGAAGAUAUUUGUUUUAAAUCUCAAAAUAGUAUAUACACAAAUUAUCUUAUAUCAUUAUCGUACAGUUUGGAUUGAAAAGAAAUGGAUCGUAUCAUAGUUGACACUGCAAUUACUUUAAAAAAACGUAAAAGAGAAGAGUAUAAGAAUAUAAUCUUAUUAGUUGUUACUUGUGUUGUUCAUAUAGUUAUUGAUGUAGUGACAUGGUAUCAUAAUAAUUAUUUUGUUAAGGAACCAACCUGUAAUUGGAAAUAGGAACAUUUAGCUUCCUUAAUCGUAUUUAUAGAGUAGAGGGACAGAGAAAUAUUACAUUAAACAACUAAGGCUUAGUAAAAGUGCAUUUUUUAACCUUUGUAAAAUUUUACAAGAGAGGGAUGGAUUAGUAAGAACAAGACAAUUGAAGUAGUAGAUAUGUUUUUAUAUAUCCUUGCUCACAACCUAAAGUAUAUGGUAGUGCAAUUUAGUUAUUGUAGAUCUAAAGAAACCAUAAAUAGGCAAUUCAAUGGAAAUAUUGUGUAUUUAAAUUUCUUAAAAAAUUUUAAAUCCUUCAUCCAAAUACAAUAUACUUUAUUAGGCUAUUAAAAAAUCCAAUUGUGUUAAUAUUCAAUACUAGAGAUGCACUAACGAGUAAGAUUUUGUUUAUUAUGAACUUUUUAAUUUAUUAAAAUUAUAUCAAUAUGACCUUGUUAAGCAUAAGUAUAUAUUUUCUUAGGUAUAAGAAACGUCAAAUCAUCAAUUGAAUUAGUUAUUUUUUAAAAAUUAAAAUCGAUGAGUUAUUUUAAUUAAUAUUGUCAUAAAUUAAAGUUUUAUUCCAACUAUCACCUUAUGUUUAAUAUUGUAAGUGACAAUCAUAUUUAAUGUCAAUACUAUCAAUCCAAUGAAUGAAUAUCUAAUAAAUAGAAUUAACAAGAAAAAAUGAUAUAAAAAAUUUAAUCCUAAAUAAGUUUUAAAAAUAAUAAUUGUUUCUUAUAAUUAGAAUUAAAGUAAAGUAUAAUUUAUUUCUUAUAAACAGAACCUAAGAUAAUAUUAUAUAAGUAGUCUUUUAACUUGUGAAUUGUACAUAAAAAUAUUUAUUUUAUAUAUUUAUAAUUUGUAGUUAAGUAUUUUUUUAGCAUAUAAAUUAUAUUUCAUAUUCAUGAUUAAUAAUUUGUAUUGUGAAACAAUACUGUUUUUAAAUAUUAAUCAUUGUUUCUAAAAUAAAAUAUUAAAAUCGCAAAGAUUAAACGCUAAGAAAAAAAAAAUUAAAAAAACACUUUUGUAGAUGAAAAAUAGUUAGAAGUGUUAUCUUUGACGAAUGAUAGCUAAAAACGCCCAUUAAGCAAAAAAAUAUAAAGAAAUAAUCUAUAAUUAUAUUAAAAUGAAAUUUUACAAUAAAUUAUUACUGAUAUAUAAAUUGCAUGUAAAAUUAAAAUAAAAAAUAAAUUGUAACAUUAGCAAAUUUAAGAUAUAAUUUUUAAAUUAGAAUUAAAAAUGAAAAAUAUUAAAAUGAAUACUUUUUUGGUAGACAUAAAAACUAAUAUUAUUUAAUUUGAAAUUAAAAAGAUAAAAAAUUAAGAAAAAAAAACAUCUAUGAAAAUAUAAUUAAAAAUUUUAACUAAAAUAUAAUUUUCGUCUGAAUUUAUUUUUAUUUAAGACAUUUUCUCUCAUACUUUUAAAAAAAUUAAAAUUUUAGUCUCACAUUUUUAAUUAAAAAAUUUCAUCCACACUUUUAAAAAAAUUAUAAUUUUAAUUCCUAUGGACAACAAUUUCAAAUGUGAAUAUUUGUUAUUCAUUAACGUUGACUACGGGUAGUAACCGAUAAGAACUGAUCGGUGAAUCCAAAUAUUAAUUUUAAAACAUAUUUUAAAAUGUUAAAAAACUGAAUAAAUUAAAAUAAAAAAUUUGACUUUAUUAUUUUAAACUAAAAUCUAUCACAAUAAAAUAUAUCAUCAUUUUAAAUAUAACAAAUUAAUAAUAAUUUAGAUCAAAAUAGUAAUAUGACAAAUUAAUACUGUAAUCCUUGUACAUUUAGAUUAGAUAGAUUAAACGGACGGAUAGUUAGUUAAGUCUGCUGGAUUUAUCACGUUAAAAUAUUUAAUUACUAAUAAGAAGGAACAAAUUACUCUAUUAAAAACUGAAGAGACUAAAAUUGCAAAAUUUUAAUUAAGGUGAAGAAAAUUGUAUUUCUGCCUUAAAACCCCAUGUUUUAAGAGUUGAGAGAAUUGUCAUACCAAAUCUUUAACUUUAAAUAAUUGGUAAUUAGAUUUAUGUUUCAUAGAUUAAGAAUUUCACAAUCCCUCAUGUUGAAUCACGUGCUUUUUAUGCCUCUAUUCUGCCCUCCAUGUUGUUUUUUUUUUGGUGCAGACUGCAGAUCAACUAAAUUAAUUUUAGUACCAAAGGGUUGUUUAUGCAAAUUUUAAAAAAUAAAUUAGUUAUUUUUAUCGUUUUGAGUAUACAAUUUACCGAAUCCGGUAAACUAAGAACCAUCACCAUUAAUCCAAUUCGAUUUCCACGUCCAGCAAACAGAUAGCAAAAUCCAUAGAAAUUUGAUGCGAUAAUUUCUUACUAUCAUUUCAUUCGAUCGACUAUAAACACAACUAGAAUUGUAGGUCAAAAACGAAAACCACAGGAACACGAAACGAAACCAACACAGAUACCGAAACUUAAACCACACACAGACAACACCUUAAAAUAAUUGAACUUAAUCAUAAACCCUAAUUUACAGGGUCAUAUGCCUAAUUUCUCCAGUUUCCAUCGGAUCCACCGCCUUCCCCACCGCGAGAGUAGCGAGAACCACCAUCACCACCGUAACCACGGUCUCUACCACCGCCGUAUCCUCCACCUCCACCCCCACCAUUACGGUUGUAUCCACCUUCACGACGACCACCGUAUCCGCCGCCGCCACCACCACCACCAUAUCCACCGCUACCGCGGUUGUAUCCACCACCACUUCCGAAACCACCGCCUCCACCACCACCACGGCUGGCGCGGGUCUGAGCUUCGUUGACAGUGAUGUUACGGCCGUCAAGGUCCUGGCCGUUCAUUCCUGCGAUCGCAUCUUUCAUUGACUGCUCUGAGGCGAAGGUCACAAAUCCGAAUCCUCUGGACCUUCCAGUCUCACGGUCGUUGAUAACCUGCACACAAAAACACGAUGCAUCAGAUCCAAAGCAAAAGAAAAAACACGAAAACUAACGACAGAACCGAAUAGAAACCGAUCGAUCUUCGCCUUUGGUGAAAGGAAGAAGAUGAACGUACCUAUUGGCGUGAGUAAUAAAAGAAUCAUAUAGUAACACAAGUAUCAUAUCAUAGAUCAAGUAACGCAAAUAGAUCAGAGAUCACAGAUCAGAAGAGGAUCGAGAAAAAAUCCGAAUCCGAAUCGUGUGAGAUCAGUUGCGGUGCCUGCAUCAAACGGACCUUC